rnacentral:rRNA from 1 species
GACGAACGCUGGCGGCGUGCUUAACACAUGCAAGUCGAACGGAAAGGCCCUGCUUUUGUGGGGUGCUCGAGUGGCGAACGGGUGAGUAACACGUGAGUAACCUGCCCUUGACUUUGGGAUAACUUCAGGAAACUGGGGCUAAUACCGGAUAGGAGCUCCUGCUGCAUGGUGGGGGUUGGAAAGUUUCGGCGGUUGGGGAUGGACUCGCGGCUUAUCAGCUUGUUGGUGGGGUAGUGGCUUACCAAGGCUUUGACGGGUAGCCGGCCUGAGAGGGUGACCGGCCACAUUGGGCCUCAGGUACGACCCAGACGCCUACGGGAGGCAGCAGUGAGGACUAUUGCAAAAUGGGCCGAAGCCUGAGGCAGCAACGCCGCGUGCGGGAGGACGGCCUUCGGGUGGGAAACCGCUUUCGCCUGUGACGAAGCGUGAGUGACGGUAAUGGGGAAAGAAGCACCGGCUAACUACGU